rnacentral:misc_RNA from 1 species
UAAAAAGUGUUUUAUGGCACUUUUUAAAUCCAUAUCCACCUUGUGUGCAAUGUCAGUCGAUCUUCUUCAUGGAGAUCGACCAAACAUCAACCUUUAUUUUUUAACUCUUUGUCUGAAAAAUAUUAUGAAUAAACAAUUCAAAAUA